rnacentral:rRNA from 1 species
ACGCUCGACACCUACGGGAGCAGCAGUGGGGAAUAUUGCACAAUGGAGGAAACUCUGAUGCAGCGAUGCCGCGUGAGGGAAGAAGGUUUUCGGAUUGUAAACCUCUGUCUUUGGGGACGAUAAUGACGGUACCCAAGGAGGAAGCUCCGGCUAACUACGUGCCGGCAGCCGCGGUAAUCUGAGCGGGCGUGGCGAAGGCG